GCGCGCGCCGCGAGUGAGUGGUUCAGCCCGGCCCCGGCUCAUUGUGCUCGCCUCACGCCGGCCCGAGUUGGCGGCAGCGCUGGAGGUCCCGGGCCUGUGACCACAAAGAGGGAGCCGGGGGCCAGACGGGAGCGCGGCGGCGGCCCCGGCUGAGGCCCAGGCCAGGCCCCCUCCCCUCAGCCGCCAGCCCGCCCGCCUGACCCGCCCCCGCCGGCGGGCGUCCCGCCCCUCCCCCAACCGCCAGACUAGCCUGGUGCGGGGGCCGCGCGCGAAGACGUGGGGGAGAAGUUGGAGCUGAAGCUGGAGUCGUCCGUGGGGGCCGAGCCCGCCGUCUACGCGUGGCCGCUGCCGGUCUACGACAAACCCCACGAUGCUGCUCACAAAAUCAGCGAGACCAUCCGGAGGAAAAGAGACGUAGAGUUACAUCCAGAGAAUGAGUUGCUGGACCGCUCCCUGCAGAAGAACCGGGAAGAGUAAAACCAGGAACACACGUGGAAGAAGAAGAGAGAGAUGAUAAAGUAAAGCCUGGUCACCUCCAGGGCCGCUUCGUGCGCGGUGCCGGUCGCCCCUCCUCAGGGGGAAGGAGACCCGGGCCGACUCCGCUCCACUGACCUGCCGCUGCCCGUCCGGGACGUGGCCGAACAGCCGGUCACAGGCUUUGCCUGUCGGAAAGGAGGGCUGCGAUGGGGCUGUGCCGACGGAAGGGGAGGAUGGAGCCGCCGACAGUCCCCGUUUGCCAGGCAGAGCUUCAUCGUGGACCCUCUUCUCAGCAGCCCUGCGCAGCAGGGACACCCAGGCCUGGCGAGUCUGCGCCCCACCCAGGGCCGCUGGGUUCCUGCGCGGCAGCCCCGGCAUCUCCUGCUGAGAAACCCCAGAGACCGUGCUCCGUCCCCCGAGCCCACCGCAGUGCUGCAGAGCCCAAGGGGGUUGGGGCUUCACCCCAAACUUGAGGAAGCCACAGCUGGGGGCCGCGGCACAAGCGCGGGUCCCACCAUCCCCGCAGGAGCAGACCCCGCGGAGGGUCUAUCUUUUGGAAGUAAAUUUAGACUAACAGGUUUUACACACACAAUCUUAGAGCUGGGAAAAGUCCUUUGUGUCAUUCAUGUAGCUUCAUAAGAUUUUUUUUUUUAAUGAGAGGAUGGAUUUCCUUGAGCAAGAGUGAAUUUCCAGGAAUGGGUCCCUGGAUACCAAGGACUGUUUUGGGGAAGAAAGACGAAUCUAUUCUGCGAACGCCUUAUAGAACUUAUUCUAUAUUGUAGUUCUGUCUGGAAACACAUGUACCGUUGAUCUUUGUAGCAGCCCUUAACAUCCUCAAGAGAAGCUCUCAUUUCCCCAUUAGUACUUGUUAUAGACUGAAUAUUUGGGUCCCCCCAGCAUUCACAUGUUGACACCCAUCCAAUGUGAUAGUAUUAGAAGGUGGGUCUUUUGGGAGGUGAUUAGGAUUUGAUGAGGUCAUCGGGAUGGAGCCCUCAUGAUGAGAUUCUUACCCUUGUGAGAGUCAUGAGAGAGCUGGCUUUUUCUCUCUGCUCUCUGCCCUGUGAGGACACAAUGAGAAGUGGACAGUCUGCAACCCGGAAGAGAGUCCUCACCAGAAGGCGAUGAUCCUGGCACCUAGAUCUCAGACUUCCAGCCACCAGGACUGAGAAAUAUAUUUUUGUUGUUUACAAGCCCCCACCGCGCCCCGUUUAUGGUACUUUGUGACAGCGGCCCAAACUGACUUAGCACUCUUUUCUUCAAGUAAAUGGAAGAAUUUGUGGAGCCCAUCUAUUUUAUGAUACAAUUUCCCAAAUAACCAAGAUUCUCUCUAUACACUCUGAUUUGUCAACUUUUUUAUUUAUCAAAAUUGUUAUAA